rnacentral:rRNA from 1 species
UACGUAGGGGGCAAGCGUUGUCCGGAUUUAUUGGGCGUAAAGCGCACGCAGGCGGUCUCUUAAGUUUUGAGUGACAGGUAGUGGCUCAACCACAACAGGCCUCAGAAGACUGGGAGACUUGAGGACGAGAGAGGGAUGCGGAAUUCCAGGUGUAGCGGUGAAAUGCGUAGAUAUCUGGAGGAACACCGGUGGCGAAGGCGGCAUCCUGGACCAACACUGACACUGAGGAGCGAAAGCCAGGGGAGCAAACGGG